GGGGUUGUGGCUCAAUGGUAGAGCACUUGCUUAGCACACAUGAGGCUCUGGGUUCAAUCCUCAGCACCACA
rnacentral:tRNA from 1 species